AGAUGAGGGACAUGUACAUGUGAGGGACAGGUACAGGUGAGGGACAUGUAGAGGUGAGGGACAGGUACAGAUGAGGGACAUGUACAUGUGAGUGACAGGUACAGGUGAGGGACAGGUACAUGUGAGGGACAUGUACAGAUGAGGGACAUGUACAUGUGAGGGACAGGUACAGAUGAGGGACAUGUACAUGUGAGGGACAGGUACAGGUGAGGGACAUGUACAGGUGAGGGACAUGUACAGAUGAGGGACAUGUACAGAUGAGGGACAGGUACAGGUGAGGGACAGGUACAUGUGAGGGACAGGUACAUGUGAGGGACAGGUACAGACAUUUUGGAGUUCUACAUUGUUGAAACCAGAAGCAGCACUGAAGCCAGCAGGGUCCUGACCUCCAUGAAGACCUGUAUAAAGGAGCAAUAUGUAACUCUGACACCUAGUGUUUAAAAUGGGUACUGCAGUC